rnacentral:rRNA from 1 species
UACGGAGGCAGCAGGGGGGAAUAUUGCACAAUGGGCGCAAGCCUGAUGCAGCCAUGCCGCGUGUAUGAAGAAGGCCUUCGGGUUGUAAAGUACUUUCAGUCGUGAGGAAGGUGUUAAGGUUAAUAACCUUAGCAAUUGACGUUAGCGACAGAAGAAGCACCGGCUAACUCCGUGCCAGCAGCCGCGGUAAUACGGAGGGUGCGAGCGUUAAUCGGAAUUACUGGGCGUAAAGGGCACGCAGGCGGUUAAUUAAGUUGGAUGUGAAAUCCCCGGGCUUAACCUGGGAAUGGCAUUCAAGACUGGUUAGCUAGAGUCUUGUAGAGGGGGUAGAAUUCCAUGUGUAGCGGUGAAAUGCGUAGAGAUGUGGAGGAAUACCGGUGGCGAAGGCGGCCCCUGGACAAAGACUGACGCUCAUGUGCGAAAGCGUGGGGAGCAAACAGGGAUUAGAUACC